rnacentral:rRNA from 1 species
ACGAACGCUGGCGGCGUGCUUAACACAUGCAAGUCGAACGGAAAGGCCCCCACCUUGGUGGGGGUGCUCGAGUGGCGAACGGGUGAGUAACACGUGGGUGAUCUGCCCUGUACUUCGGGAUAAGCUUGGGAAACUGGGUCUAAUACCGGAUAGGACCAUGGUUUAGUGUCUCAUGGUGGAAAAAUAUUGUUUUGGUGCAGGAUGAGCUCGCGGCCUAUCAGCUUGUUGGUGGGGUAAUGGCCUACCAAGGCGUCGACGGGUAGCCGGCCUGAGAGGGUGGACGGCCACAUUGGGACUGAGAUACGGCCCAGACUCCUACGGGAGGCAGCAGUGGGGAAUAUUGCACAAUGGGCGCAAGCCUGAUGCAGCGACGCCGCGUGGGGGAUGACGGCCUUCGGGUUGUAAACUCCUUUCGUUAGGGACGAAGCCACACCUUUUUUGGGUGUGGUGACGGUACCUUUGUUAAGAAGCACCGGCUAACUACGUG